CACGUAGGGCGCAAGCGUUGUCCGGAAUUAUUGGGCGUAAAGAGCUCGUAGGCGGUCUGUCGCGUCUGCUGUGAAAACUCGGGGCUUAACCCCGGGCCUGCAGUGGGUACGGGCAGACUAGAGUGCGGUAGGGGAGACUGGAAUUCCUGGUGUAGCGGUGAAAUGCGCAGAUAUCAGGAGGAACACCGGUGGCGAAGGCGGGUCUCUGGGCCGUAACUGACGCUGAGGAGCGAAAGCGUGGGAGCGAACAGG
rnacentral:rRNA from 1 species